UACGUAGGGUGCGAGCGUUAAUCGGAAUUACUGGGCGUAAAGCGUGCGCAGGCGGUUUUGUAAGACAGAGGUGAAAUCCCCGGGCUUAACCUGGGAACUGCGCUUCUAACUGGCAGGCUUGAGUGUGGCAGAGGGGGGUGGAAUUCCACGUGUAGCAGUGAAAUGCGUAGAGAUGUGGAGGAACACCGAUGGCGAAGGCAGCCCCCUGGGCUAACACUGACGCUCAUGCACGAAAGCGUGGGGAGCAAGCAGG
rnacentral:rRNA from 1 species